UACGAAGGGGGCGAGCGUUGUUCGGAAUUACUGGGCGUAAAGGGCGCGUAGGCGGCGACUCUAGUCAGAUGUGAAAGUCCUGGGCUUAACCUGGGGACUGCAUUUGAUACUGGGUUGCUUGAAUUCGGGAGAGGAUAGCGGAAUUCCCAGUGUAGAGGUGAAAUUCGUAGAUAUUCGGAGGAACACCAGUGGCGAAGGCGGCUCACUGGCUCGGUACUGACGCUGAGGUGCGAAAGCGUGGGGAGCAAACAGG
rnacentral:rRNA from 1 species